rnacentral:rRNA from 1 species
GACGUAGGGCGCGAGCGUUGUCCGGAUUGACUGGGCGUAAAGCGCACGCAGGCGGUCGCGCGCGUGGGGUGUGAAAUCUGGCCGCUUAACGGCCAGGCGCCAUCCCAUACGGCACGACUGGAGUGAUGCAGAGGUCGAUGGAAUUGCCGGUGUAGUGGUGAAAUGCGUAGAGAUCGGCAGGAACACCCAGGGGGAAACCAGUCGACUGGGCAUCUACUGACGCUGAGGUGCGAGAGCGUGGGGAGCGAACAGG